rnacentral:tRNA from 1 species
GGAGUAAUUUUAUUUUUGAACUUCUAAUUCAAACCUCAAUGAUUCUUACAUCAUUCUACUCCU